AACGGCAGAGUAAAAAAGUCACUCAACAAGACCUUGGCUGUGAGAAGGAACUUUUGCUUACCCUCACGCUUUUUAAAUAAAUACAUACAUACCUACUCUAUACUACUCUACUCUUUACUCUAAGGGACACGUCACACAUUACUGUCACGGCUGGGGCAGCAGCCGUGUGGUGAAAUGAAUGAGGACCCAAGAUGCAGAUGGCAGUGGAGAUGCAAGUGGAGAUUUAUUUACAGAGAGAAAACCAAGAUGUGACAGGAAUGUGCAUCCUUGUUCUGGGAGGCCUCCUUGUUCUUCGUAGUGAUGACCUCCAUAAUGUCUCCAACACUGGGCAUGCUCCUAAUGAGAUGAAGGAUGGUGUCCUGGGGGAUUUCCUACCAGAUCUGAAACAGUGCAUCACUGAGCUUCUGGACAGUCUGAAGUGCAACCUGGUCGCACUGAUGGAGCAAAACAUAGCACCUGAGAGGUGUUCUGUUGGAUUCAGGGCAGAGCAUGGGGGCAAGUCAGUGGAAUCAAUUCUUUCAUCCUCCAGGAACUGCCUGCAUACUCUCGCUAUAAAGGCAUUGUCUUGAUUGAGGAGGACCCACUGCUCCAGCGUACAGGGUCUGACAAUGAGUUCAAGGAUCUCAUCCUAACACCUAAUGGCAGUCAGAGUGUUGUUGCCUAGCCUGUAGAGGUCUGUGGGUCCUUCCAUGGAUAUGCCUCCCAAAACCAUCACCGACCUACCACCAAUUCGGUCAGAAUGAAUGAUGUUGCAUGCAGCUCCAAGGUUUCUCCAGGCCUCUUUACAUCUGUCACAUGUGCUCAAGGUAAGCCUGCUGUCAUCUGUGAAAAGCACAGGGCACCAGUGGUGGACCUGCAAAUGCCAAUCGGGCGAGCACAGGACAUCGGACCCUCUGGAUACCGAUUGUUUGGUUAGACACAUUCCCACUGGUGUCCUGCAGAAGGUCAUUUUAUAGCUCUGGCAGUGCUCCUCCUGUUUCUUCUUCCACAAAGUAGCAGAUAUCAGUCCUGCUGAUAGCUUAAGGACCUUCUACAGCCCCGUCGACUGCCUGUCUCCUGGAAUCUCCUCCAUGCUCUUGAAACACAGCAAACCUUCUGGCAACUACAUGGGCUUAUUACAAAUCUUCUGGAAGAGCUGGCCUUCCUGUGCAACCUCUGUAGAGUCCAGGUAUUACCUCAUGCUUCUAGUAGUGACUGAUUGUCUAGUGCACUGUUUUUAAUUUAUUAACAGCAAAGCAUCUGAAACUGAUUAACAACGCCCUCUGCUAAAGUUUGUAUAUAUUUUUGUGUAAACAAUAUUACUGUGAACAGUAAACAAACCUCUGAGAUUGAGGAAGCCUGGGUCUUUGGGGGUGCUUACUGUCCACAGAUGAAGCUGUUCCCAUAUCUCCACCUCGAUCCUGAGAUCAUUUUUAAGCUAUUUUAGUAGAUGGUCUGUAAAAUACAUAUACAUUUAUUCUGGGUUCAAAAUGAUGAUGGGGUUACAUAAGGAAUUUGCUCUGAACCCCUUCUUGUUUGUGAUGGUGCUAGAGGUGCUGACACACUAUGUUUGCAGAUAACACUGUGAUCUAUACUGAGAGCAGAUAGCAGGUGGAUGGACGCCUGAAACUGAACAGAAGAGGGAUGAAAGUCAGUAGAUGCAAGAUAGAAUGAGGGUGAGAGAGACAGAAAGUUGAACAUGCAAUGAAUAGAGAUAGGCUUGCACAGUGCAAAAGAGAGGUAAAGAAGAGAGUGCAGGCAAGGCGAAUGAGUGAAGGCUGGCGUUAGGGGUGACUUGGUACAGACAGAUAGAAUGAAAAGUGAAAGUGUACAAGAUGGUAGUGAGACGUGCUGUGGUGCAUGGUUUGGAGAUGGUGGCACAAGCAAAAUGGCAGAAGGCUGAGCUGAAGAUGCUAAGAUUUUCACUGAGAGUGACCAGAACAGACAGAAUUAGAAACAUGUAUAUUAGAGGGACAGUUCAGAUCGAGCUGAGGCAAGGCUGAGAUUGUUUGGGCAUGUGCAGAUGAGGGAUAGUGGAUGUAUUUAACAAAGUAUGUUGAAAAUUGAAAUUUCAGGCAAGAGGAACAGAGGAAGACCACAGAGAAGGUUCAUGUUCAUGUAGUGAAGGGGAAUAUGCUGGGGGUGGGUGUGAUAGAGGCGGUGAUGACCUCUAAAGGGAAGAGCCAACUUGGCAGACUAAACUUGUUUUGUAGCAUUUGGGCUUUAUCUAAAGAUCUAAUGAUGUUACCAGAAAAUGUCAUGUUUAACUGUCAUACUGACCUCACUGUUACUGCUACUGGUUUCAGUUGCAUUUUGAGAUGAGUAGUGUCAGCUGUUUGGAGAGAAACUGUACUUUGAACUGUGCUUUUACCUUUAUUUUUAUUUUUGCAGAAACUUGAGUGCAAGUAAACUACAUAAAACAAAAUGCUCUGUUAUUACAACAUCAGUUUGCGUGCACUAGAUUAAUGUUACGGCCUAUGGUCGAUUGAUUUUAACAUAAUUUUUAACAGCAUCACAUACUUUUUUUUUUUAAAAGUUGUUUUUUCUUUAAAUGUCUGCCCUGUAACCACAGUCUUUAGCAGAAGUGUUUAACCUACCAUUCGAGUGUGUGAACAUUGCAAAGACGCAAAAGUUCUUGCAUCUUUAAACUCAACUAAAUUUAAUAACACAGGAAGUGGAAACUUGUCAACCACAGUCGAGACUGACAACUGCCUUAGAAAACUAUCAUUUGUUUUGCCUCGUGGGAUCUAUUCUAAGUCAUCAGUUUUUAUGAAACUGUCUUUACAGGUUUCCCAAGCCACUUAAAAACUGGGAAUGUAUUCAGUAUAUUUGAAGUGUUUUUAUUUUCUAACACACUGGCUCAGCUGAUGACUCAGCCUUGCUGUUUAUGGUUUUGCAAUAAGUGUUCACAUUCAAGCUCAAGUAAAA